rfam:TPA: Bos taurus chromosome 2, whole genome shotgun sequence.
UCCCUGGUGGCUCAGAUGGUAAAGCAUUCUGCCUACAAUGCAGGAGACCCAGGUUCAAUCCCUGGGUUGGGAA